GCCCCGCGCGGUGCUUGCUGGGAAUUGUAGUCGUAGCUGUUUGCGGGCGGGAAGGAGAGAACGAGCGAUGCAGAGGAGGAAACACACUUCGAGAAAGUAGACGUGCCGUGGGGGAGAUAUGACAAAGCACUUUUUUUGUUUUGUUUUUUAAAAAGCGAAAAAUGAGAGAAUCUAUACGGUGCUGGGUUCACUGUUGUUCUCACGUCCGAUUUUAAUGCUACAUCGAGACCAAAGCGGUCGUCCCGUUCACGUGUGGAAUUUCAUCGGCAGCCUGGAGUAGUCCACCGAGCCGACUCACCUUCGGCCGAUCGCCACGGUUAUCCGGACAUCACACGACACAAACGAAUGUGCUGGAAAGAAAUCAUCGCGUUG